AUUGAACGCUGGCGGCAUGCCUUACACAUGCAAGUCGAACGGCAGCGGGGACUUCGGUCCGCCGGCGAGUGGCGAACGGGUGAGUAACGUAUCGGAACGUACCUUUCAGUGGGGGAUAACGUAGCGAAAGUUACGCUAAUACCGCAUAUUCUGUGAGCAGGAAAGCAGGGGACCGCAAGGCCUUGCGCUCUUUGAGCGGCCGAUGUCAGAUUAGCUAGUUGGUGAGGUAAAGGCUUACCAAGGCGACGAUCUGUAGCGGGUCUGAGAGGAUGAUCCGCCACACUGGAACUGAGACACGGUCCAGACUCCUACGGGAGGCAGCAGUGGGGAAUUUUGGACAAUGGGCGCAAGCCUGAUCCAGCCAUGCCGCGUGAGUGAAGAAGGCCUCGGUGUAAG
rnacentral:rRNA from 1 species